UACGUAGGGGGCAAGCGUUAUCCGGAUUUACUGGGUGUAAAGGGAGCGUAGACGGCAGCGCAAGUCUGGAGUGAAAUGCCGGGGCCCAACCCCGGAACUGCUUUGGAAACUGUGCAGCUCGAGUGCAGGAGAGGUAAGCGGAAUUCCUAGUGUAGCAGUGAAAUGCGUAGAUAUUAGGAGGAACACCAGUGGCGAAGGCGGCUUACUGGACUGUAACUGACGUUGAGGCUCGAAAGCGUGGGGAGCAAACAGG
rnacentral:rRNA from 1 species